ACAGCAGAGACCUUGGUUUUCCUCCAUUGGCCGCAUUGGUCGAGUGGACCAUCCUUAGAGAGUACUGCAUUUAGGGACCCUGACUUGUUGGAGAGGUGUGUGUGUGUGUGUGUGUGUGUGUGUGUGUGUGUGUGUGUGUGUGUGUGUUACAAGGCUGGCCCUGCCACACACAUGCAUGGUCCUGCAUGGUAAGAUGAGCUGAGACGUACUUAGCAUUAUGUGAAGUUUUUCCUGGGCCCAUGCUGUGACAGACUCAUGACUCUAAGCACAUUAUAACCAGUAGAUUGUUUAAUCCUCAUAACAACACCCUAAGAGUCGCGUGUACAACUAACAUGACCACCUUGCAUGGUCAGUGUUGGCUGCUGAAGUCCUGCCCCUCAGUUCUGUGAAGGCACCGGGAUUAGAGUGCGCACCACCACAGCCAACAUCAGUCCUGUUUUGUAUGUUUGAAGGAUGACUUGAGACUCUCAAGGCUGCAAGCUUGCAUGCAGAUAACGUAACUACAUUCAUUGAUUUCAUCCACUCCACAAAUCCCCAAGAUGCCAGAAAACAGCUCAACACUAGAGCUAGAGCAUGCCUGCCGAGCCAGGCUUGGCCUGUCAAGCUGAAAACCACAAGAAGGGGAAAUGCAGGACUCCAACAUUCUCGAAGAGCCUGGCUUUCCUGCUGUGCCUACAAGUCAGCCAGAAGUCACCAAGAGAAGAGAGAUCCAGGACCCAGAGCUCAUUUGGGAGCACAGCAGAACAAGGCAAGAGGACCCUUGAGUGGCCUGCUCUUACAAUGCUGAGAAUCUAGCGGGCUUGGACAUUGGGGUUGCCAAGGGACAGCCGUCCUUCACAGGCAUCGUGUUGUCUACUGUGUUCUGAA
ensembl:lincRNA Gm44290 predicted gene, 44290